rnacentral:pre_miRNA from 1 species
UCUCAUGUAGUCAUUCUCCAAUGGGAAGCACCGUCUGUGGUCUGAAAGCAAGCAGAGGGCCUCCUUUUGGAGCAUUACUGUUUGAGA